AAAAUUUGAUGACAUGAAAAAACAAUUUUAACUACCGCAAAAUACUUGGACAAAAUUAAUGACUGUAAUCCCUUGUUCCUUAUUAUGUUGCAACAAAUAAUUGAAUAAAAUUUCGUAUUUGACAAGUCGUAUUGUUUACAUACAAAAUUUGCUUAAAUACGUAUAUGCGAAGAACAAUUAAAUGUCGAGUAAGUUAAGAACGUCGAGCCUAAAAAAUUAAAGCAAAAC
rnacentral:lncRNA from 1 species